rnacentral:lncRNA from 1 species
GGGUUGCGGGCUGUGGCCCCGGGGGCUGAGGGCGGCGCGGGUGCGGCGGAAGCAGGGAAGCCGCGAACCGGCCUUCUGGCUGGCCACAGCGCCCUGCACGGACGAUCAGUGAAUGGAGAUUGCUCAAGUAUUUAUCGAGAACUUGCAGUGGGCUAGGCACGGUUCAGGUCCACAGUUAUUUCACUUCUAAAUAAAUAUGAUUUUUUAAAAGUGGCACGCGGUGGAAUGUAAUUGAGACAGGAUGGAGUUCCUAGAGAAAUUUUACUUCCUCGAUCUGCACUCCACCUUAUUUAAAAUACAGUCUUGGGUCUGUAAUUCCCUUAUCUGACUCUCAAGGAAAUGAAAAAGUAAUGCCUAGAUUGGACUAAACCUCAUUUAACUUCAAGACUGACCUUUCUCAAAGUUGAACCUUCGUCUUGUGAGGAACAGAAAGAUCAAGAACUCUGAAGCACCUCGACUUUCCACCUGUGAAGAUGUGUUCAAAUUUGCAACGUGCGGCCACACCUAUGAGGUCACUCCCUCUGGAGGAAACCAGCUGCCACUUUGUGAGGAUACUCAUGGCCCUGUGGAGGCAUAUCCUCCAUAUGGCUGAGACCUCCUGCCAACAACCAUCACUGACUUGCCAGACAUGAGUGUGCCACCUUGGAAGCAGAUUUUCCAGCCC